CUACGGGAGGCAGCAGUGGGGAAUAUUGGACAAUGGGGGAAACCCUGAUCCAGCGACGCCGCGUGUGUGAAGAAGGCCUGCGGGUUGUAAAGCACUUUUAGUGGGGACAAAAAGUCACGGGCGAAUACCUCGUGAUCUUGAUUUAACUCACAGAAAAAGCACCGGCUAACUCUGUGCCAGCAGCCGCGGUAAUACAGAGGGUGCGAGCGUUAAUCGGAAUUACUGGGCGUAAAGCGCGCGUAGACGGUUUGGUAAGUCAGAUGUGAAAUCCCUGGGCUCAACCUGGGAACUGCAUUUGAUACUGCCUGGCUAGAGUAUCGAAGAGGGAAGUGGAAUUUCCGGUGUAGCGGUGAAAUGCGUAGAUAUCGGAAGG
rnacentral:rRNA from 1 species